GGAAGGGUGCCCGAAUGGUAAGGAGUCGCACUGCUAAUGCGAUAAGGCUAACUGCCGUACAGGUUCAAGUCCUGUCCCUUCCGCCA
rnacentral:tRNA from 1 species